rnacentral:rRNA from 1 species
UGGGGAAUUUUGGACAAUGGGGGAAACCCUGAUCCAGCCAUCCCGCGUGUGCGAUGAAGGCCUUCGGGUUGUAAAGCACUUUUGGCAGGAAAGAAACGUCGCGGGUUAAUGCCCCGCGAAACUGACGGUACCUGCAGAAUAAGCACCGGCUAACUACGUGCCAGCAGCCGCGGUAAUACGUAGGGUGCAAGCGUUAAUCGGAAUUACUGGGCGUAAAGCGUGCGCAGGCGGUUCGGAAAGAAAGAUGUGAAAUCCCAGAGCUUAACUUUGGAACUGCAUUUUUAACUACCGGGCUAGAGUGUGUCAGAGGGAGGUGGAAUUCCGCGUGUAGCAGUGAAAUGCGUAGAUAUGCGGAGGAACACCGAUGGCGAAGGCAGCCUCCUGGGAUAACACUGACGCUCAUGCACGAAAGCGUGGGGAGCAAACAGGAUUAGAUACCCUGGUAGUCCACGCCCUAAACGAUGUCAACUAGCUGUUGGGGCCUUCGGGCCUUGGUAGCGCAGCUAACGCGUUAAGUUGACCGCCUGGGGAGUACGGUCGCAAGAUUAAAACUCAAAGGAAUUGG